rnacentral:rRNA from 1 species
AACGAACGCUGGCGGCAUGCCUAACACAUGCAAGUCGAACGAGAUCUUCGGGUCUAGUGGCGCACGGGUGCGUAACGCGUGGGAAUCUGCCCUUUGGUUCGGAAUAACAGUUGGAAACGACUGCUAAUACCGGAUGAUGACGAAAGUCUAAAGAUUUAUCGCCAGAGGAUGAGCCCGCGUAGGAUUAGCUAGUUGGUGUGGUAAAGGCGCACCAAGGCGACGAUCCUUAGCUGGUCUGAGAGGAUGAUCAGCCACACUGGGACUGAGACACGGCCCAGACUCCUAUGGGAGGCAGCAGUGGGGAAUAUUGGACAAUGGGCGAAAGCCUGAUCCAGCAAUGCCGCGUGAGUGAUGAAGGCCUUAGGGUUGUAAAGCUCUUUUACCCGGGAUGAUAAUGACAGUACCGGGAGAAUAAGCUCCGGCUAACUCCGUGCCAGCCGCCGCUGUAA